GCAUACCUGUUCGAGCGUCAUUACACCUCUCAAAUACUUGUAUUUGGUGUUGGGCUUUGCCUUUAGGCAUGCCUAAAAAUCAGUGACGGUACGUUGAACCACAACGCGCAACUGUCGUUAUGUUGGGGAGAUGGUGCCUGUCUAACGAUGAAUUUCCAAAUGUUGACCUCGGAUCAGGUAGGAAUACCCGCUGAACUUAA
rnacentral:misc_RNA from 1 species